UAUAGGCCCACCUCGAUCCCUCGAGCCCAUGUCGAGUUCGCCCCACCUCGACCCUCCCGGAAGAAGAAACGGAAGCUGUGGCGAUCGCGACACGUCCAGGACUCGAAGCUGCUUGCUGUUACGCCUUCUCGAUGAUCUUGGUGGGAAGAAUCUGAAUCGCUACAAGUUAGUCGUUCUGAAACCUGCCAUCUCUCGUUACCCAUCGAUAUGUUCUUGUUGAACCCUAGGAAUAUAGAGUUAGGUUUGGCUAUUGUGAACUAAACGUCGUUGUGCUUUCUCCGUUUCAUGUUUGAUUGCUUAACAUUUUGCUGUAGGAUAAAGGCAAUCAAAUAAUGGUAAGUCGAGGAACUCGAAUUGAGUAAGAGAUAUGUGAUGCAUAUUAAUUGCUUGGAAUACUUUUUUCUUACCAACUAUCUAUAAAUGAGAAUUUGUUAGCUGAUCAUUGAGUC